AGACAGUUAGGGUCUGUAGAGACAGUUAGGGUCUGUAGAGACAGUUAGGGUCAUCAAACACAUACAGGUCUGUAGGGACAGUUAGGGUCUGUAGAGACAGUUAGGGUCUGUAGAGACAGUUAGGGUCUGUAGGGACAGUUAGGGUCUGUAGAGACAGUUAGGGUCUGUAGGGACAGUUAGGGUCUGUAGAGACAGUUAGGGUCUGUAGGGACAGUUAGGGUCUGUAGAGACAGUUAGGGUCUGUAGGGACAGUUAGGGUCUGUAGAGACAGUUAGGGUCUGUAGAGACAGUUAGGGUCUGUAGAGACAGUUAGGGUCUGUAGAGACAGUUAGGGUCUUCAACACAUACAGGUCUGUAGAGACAGUUAGGGUCUUCAACACAUACAGGUCUGUAGAGACAGUUAGGGUCUUCAAACACAUACAGGUCUGUAGAGACAGUUAGGGUCUAUAGGGACAGUUAGGGUCUAUAGGGACAGUUAGGGUCUGUAGAGACAGUUAGGGUCUGUAGAGACAGUUAGGGUCUGUAGAGACAGUUAGGGUCUAUAGGGACAGUUAGGGUCUGUAGAGACAGUUAGGGUCUGUAGGGACAGUUAGGGUCUGUAGAGACAGUUAGGGUCUGUAGAGACAGUUAGGGUCAUCAAACACAUACAGGUCUGUAGGGACAGUUAGGGUCUGUAGAGACAGUUAGGGUCUGUAGAGACAGUUAGGGUCUGUAGGGACAGUUAGGGUCUGUAGAGACAGUUAGGGUCUGUAGGGACAGUUAGGGUCUGUAGAGACAGUUAGGGUCUGUAGGGACAGUUAGGGUCUGUAGAGACAGUUAGGGUCUGUAGGGACAGUUAGGGUCUGUAGAGACAGUUAGGGUCUGUAGAGACAGUUAGGGUCUGUAGAGACAGUUAGGGUCUUCAAACACAUACAGGUCUGUAGGGACAGUUAGGGUCUGUAGGGACAGUUAGGGUCUGUAGGGACAGUUAGGGUCUGUAGAGACAGUUAGGGUCUGUAGAGACAGUUAGGGUCUGUAGAGACAGUUAGGGUCUGUAGAGACAGUUAGGGUCUUCAACACAUACAGGUCUGUAGAGACAGUUAGGGUCUUCAACACAUACAGGUCUGUAGAGACAGUUAGGGUCUUCAAACACAUACAGGUCUGUAGAGACAGUUAGGGUCUAUAGGGACAGUUAGGGUCUAUAGGGACAGUUAGGGUCUGUAGAGACAGUUAGGGUCUGUAGAGACAGUUAGGGUCUGUAGAGACAGUUAGGGUCUAUAGGGACAGUUAGGGUCUGUAGAGACAGUUAGGGUCUGUAGGGACAGUUAGGGUCUGUAGGGACAGUUAGGGUCUGUAGAGACAGUUAGGGUCUGUAGAGACAGUUAGGGUCUGUAGAGACAGUUAGGGUCUGUAGAGACAGUUAGGGUCUGUAGGGACAGUUAGGGUCUUCAAACACAUACAGGUCUGUAGGGACAGUUAGGGUCUGUAGAGACAGUUAGGGUCUGUAGAGACAGUUAGGGUCUGUAGAGACAGUUAGGGUCUGUAGAGACAGUUAGGGUCUGUAGAGACAGUUAGGGUCUUCAAACACAUACAGGUCUGUAGAGACAGUUAGGGUCUGUAGAGACAGUUAGGGUCUGUAGAGACAGUUAGGGUCUGUAGAGACAGUUAGGGUCUUUAGGGACAGUUAGGGUCUGUAGAGACAGUUAGGGUCUUCAAACACAUACAGGUCUGUAGGGACAGUUAGGGUCUUCAACACAUACAGGUCUGUAGAGACAGUUAGGGUCUGUAGAGACAGUUAGGGUCUGUAGAGACAGUUAGGGUCUGUAGAGACAGUUAGGGUCUGUAGAGACAGUUAGGGUCUGUAGGGACAGUUAGGGUCUGUAGAGACAGUUAGGGUCUUCAAACACAUACAGGUCUGUAGAGACAGUUAGGGUCUUCAACACAUACAGGUCUGUAGAGACAGUUAGGGUCUGUAGAGACAGUUAGGGUCUAUAUAUCGACAGUUAGGGUCUGUAGAGACAGUUAGGGUCUGUAGAGACAGUUAGGGUCUUAAACACAUACAGGUCUGUAGAGACAGUUAGGGUCUGUAGAGACAGUUAGGGUCUAUAUAUCGACAGUUAGGGUCUUCAACACAUACAGGUCUGUAGAGACAGUUAGGGUCUUCAAACACAUACAGGUCUGUAGAGACAGUUAGGGUCUAUGAGGACAGUUAGGGUCUGUAGAGACAGUUAGGGUCUGUAGAGACAGUUAGGGUCUGUAGAGACAGUUAGGGUCUAUAGGGACAGUUAGGGUCUGUAGAGACAGUUAGGGUCUGUAGGGACAGUUAGGGUCUAUAGGGACAGUUAGGGUCUGUAGAGACAGUUAGGGUCUGUAGAGACAGUUAGGGUCUGUAGAGACAGUUAGGGUCUGUAGGGACAGUUAGGGUCUUCAAACACAUACAGGUCUGUAGGGACAGUUAGGGUCUGUAGAGACAGUUAGGGUCUAUAGGGACAGUUAGGGUCUGUAGAGACAGUUAGGGUCUGUAGAGACAGUUAGGGUCUUCAAACACAUACAGGUCUGUAGAGACAGUUAGGGUCUGUAGAGACAGUUAGGGUCUGUACAGAACAGUUAUGGUCUGUAGAGACAGUUAGGGCCUGUAGAGACAGUUAGGGUCUGUAGAGACAGUUAGGGUCUUCAAACACAUACAGGUCUGUAGAGACAGUUAGGGUCUAUAGGGGCAGUUAGGGUCUGUAGAGACAGUUAGGGUCUGUAGAGACAGUUAGGGUCUGUAGAGACAGUUAGGGUCUUCAAACACAUUCAGGUCUUUAGGGACAGUUAGGGUCUGUAGAGACAGUUAGGGUCUUCAAACACAUUCAGGUCUGUAGAGACAGUUAGGGUCUGUAGGGACAGUUAGGGUCUAUAGGGACAGUUAGGGUCUGUAGAGACAGUUAGGGUCUGUAGAGACAGUUAGGGUCUGUAGAGACAGUUAGGUUCUGUAGAGACAGUUAGGGUCUGUAGAGACAGUUAGGGUCUUCAACACAUACAGGUCUGUAGAGACAGUUAGGGUCUGUAGAGACAGUUAGGGUCUGUAGAGACAGUUAGGGUCUAUAUAUCGACAGUUAGGGUCUGUAGAGACAGUUAGGGUCUAUAGGGACAGUUAGGGUCUAUAGGGACAGUUAGGGUCUGUAGAGACAGUUAGGGUCUGUAGAGACAGUUAGGGUCUAUAGGGACAGUUAGGGUCUGUAGAGACAGUUAGGGUCUAUAGGGACAGUUAUUGUCUUCAAACACAUACAGGUCUGUAGGGACAGUUAGGGUCUAUAGGGACAGUUAGGGUCUUCAAACACAUACAGGUCUGUAGAGACAGUUAGGGUCUUCAACACAUACAGGUCUGUAGAGACAGUUAGGGUCUGUAGAGACAGUUAGGGUCUAUAGAGACAGUUAGGGUCUGUAGAGACAGUUAGGGUCUAUAGGGACAGUUAGGGUCUAUAGGGACAGUUAGGGUCUAUAGGGACAGUUAGGGUCUGUAGAGACAGUUAGGGUCUGUAGAGACAGUUAGGGUCUGUAGAGACAGUUAGGGUCUGUAGAGACAGUUAGGGUCUGUAGAGACAGUUAGGGUCUAUAGGGACAGUUAGGGUCUAUAGGGACAGUUAGGAUCUAUAGGGACAGUUAGGGUCUGUAGAGACAGUUAGGGUCUGUAGAGACAGUUAGGGUCUGUAGAGACAGUUAGGGUCUGUAGAGACAGUUAGGGUCUGUAGGGACAGUUAGGGUCUGUAGAGACAGUUAGGGUCUGUAGAGACAGUUAGGGUCUGUAGGGACAGUUAGGGUCUGUAGAGACAGUUAGGGUCUGUAGAGACAGUUAGGGUCUGUAGGGACAGUUAGGGUCUGUAGGGACAGUUAGGGUCUGUAGAGACAGUUAGGGUCUGUAGAGACAGUUAGGGUCUGUAGAGACAGUUAGGGUCUGUAGAGACAGUUAGGGUCUGUAGAGACAGUUAGGGUCUGUAGAGACAGUUAGGGUCUGUAGAGACAGUUAGGGUCUGUAGAGACAGUUAGGGUCUGUAGGGACAGUUAGGGUCUGUAGAGACAGUUAGGGUCUGUAGAGACAGUUAGGGUCUGUAGAGACAGUUAGGGUCUGUAGGGACAGUUAGGGUCUGUAGAGACAGUUAGGGUCUGUAGGGACAGUUAGGGUCUGUAGAGACAGUUAGGGUCUGUAGAGACAGUUAGGGUCUGUAGAGACAGUUAGGGUCUGUAGAGACAGUUAGGGUCUGUAGGGACAGUUAGGGUCUGUAGAGACAGUUAGGGUCUGUAGAGACAGUUAGGGUCUGUAGAGACAGUUAGGGUCUUCAAACACAUACAGGAAGCAGAGAUACUGCGUCCAUGUCCUUCCACCCGUCAGAUGACUUCCUGUUGGUGGGGACGCAGCGCCCCAUCCUCCGCCUCGAUGUGUGUGUCUGUGUGUGUCUGUUGAUGUGUGUGUGUGUGUGUGUCUGUUGAUGUGUCUCUGUCUUGGUGUGUGUGUCUUUCUCUCUUAGUGUGUGUGUGUCUUUCUCUCUUAGUGUGUGUGUGUCUUUCUCUCUUAGUGUGUGUGUGUGUGUGUCUUUCUCUCUUAGUGUGUGUGUGUGUCUUUCUCUCUUAGUGUGUGUGUGUGUCUUUCUCUCUUGGCGUGUGUGUGUCUCUCUCCUGGUGUGUGUGUGUGUGUGUGUGUGUGUGUGUGUGUGUGUGUGUGUGUGUGUGUGUGUGUGUGUGUGUGUGUGUGUGUGUGUGUGUGUGUGUGUGUGUGUGUGUGUGUAAACAGAGAUCUGUUUAUUAUGGGAUGUUGUCCUGUCUACAGAGACCUGUUUAUUAUGGGAUGUUGUCCUGUCUACAGAGACCUGUUUAUUAUGGGAUGUUGUCCUGUCUACAGAGACCUGUUUAUUAUGGGAUGUUGUCCUGUCUACAGAGACCUGGUAUCCCAGAGACCUGUUUAUUAUGGGAUGUUGUCCCGUCUACAGAGACCUGUUUAUUAUGGGAUGUUGUCCUGUCUACAGAGACCUGUUUAUUAUGGGAUGUUGUCCUGUCUACAGAGACCUGGUAUCCCAGAGACCUGUUUAUUAUGGGAUGUUGUCCUGUCUACAGAGACCUGUUUAUUAUGGGAUGUUGUCCUGUCUACAGAGACCUGUUUAUUAUGGGAUGUUGUCCUGUCUACAGAGACCUGGUAUCCCAGAGACCUGUUUAUUAUGGGAUGUUGUCCUGUCUACAGAGACCUGUUUAUUAUGGGAUGUUGUCCCGUCAAUAGAGACCUGGUAUCCCAGAUAUUUUGCUGAUUUUAAAUUAACAAUGUUAUUGGGAAUCUAAUAAUGAAUCAUAAUAGUUCUAGUUAUUUUGAAGACAAAGUGAUCGACAUUCAUAUUUUUUUAUUUCAUCUUUUGAUAAAAACAACUUUGUAGUUGAGUCAGUGUUGUAACUUCUUUUCCACUUUUUGAUUUAGUUUUUUUUAUCUUUCUGUCUGUCACAGAUUUUUAUAUGAAAACCUUAAAAGUGAAGUUGCCCCUUGUUUUUUGCUAAUCAUAUACACAUCCUAAUAAUAAUAAUAAUACCUGUUUUUUGUGAGGCACACUGACCUGGUCUGUUUCUGUUCUUUUAGUUCAAUCAGACAUUUGGACGAUGAAACAGACUGACACCCAGGGGUAGAGAAACACUCGUAUGACGAUUCACCGGGAGUUUAAUUCCGCUGCUCUUAUCGAUCGCUGCGUACACUGAGUCUACUCUCAGAAAAGCUUCAAGUCGCCGGGGACAUGGGGACUCUACAAGGUGUCGAAAGCGUUCCACAGGGAUGUUGGCCCUUGUUGACUCCAAUGCUUCCCCACAGUUGUGUCAAGUUGGCUGGAUGUGGUGGACUAUUCUUGAUACACACGGGGAAACUGUUGUGCGUGGGGAAAACCCCAGCAGAGUUACAGUCCUUAACGCCUGGCACCUACCUCCAUACCCUGUUCAAAGGUACUUAAAUAUUUCACAAAUUCGCCCUCUUUCACCUGGUCAGUAUUGUCCAGGAAAGAGCAGGUGUUCUUAAUGUUUUGUCAGGUCAGUGUUCAGUCUAAUCUGCCAUCCUAGAAGUCGUUUGUGUGACUUCAAAUUGAGGAGGUGUUGGAACGCAUAUUCAUCAGCGAUUGGAUCGUCUUAACAAAAGAGUAACCAAUCAUCAUGUAGAUCAUCCCAUCGGUUUCUUGGGACCAAUGAGAACGGUCAGAAUGAGUUUCAAUUCUAGAAAUCGUUGGCGCUCGAAGAAACGUCAGUUGGCUGAAGCCAGGUGGAUGGCUCGCCGUCCCUUUGGGCUAUGGGUGUUAGGUGGAGAAACGGAGAGAGCUAACAGACCUCGCUGAUGCAGGAGACCACAGCUUUUCUCGGUGAUCGGCUGUUGCUGUGGUCAGUGGUUUAGGCUGAACAGAAAGGGACUUCACGUUAUACUGAUGUUUACUGGUAGCCAGUGGUGUUGACACAUUUACACAGGAAACCCACAGCGUAAUUCUGUUCUGACUCGAGCCACGAUAUAACCUGACAUCAUCAGUGACAAUUUUCUCAUGUAAUUCUUGGUGGGAAACAUGGCAGGAAAGCCACUAACGCUACUCAAUACAUUAAUUGCACUAUAACGGUGACACGCGAUGCCCACAAAACCGUUAAGGCCUACGUAAAGCUGUCCCAACACCUGACCACAAAUCAUGCUUCAUUGACAGCAUGGCCAAUGUUGAAUCUUUAUCAGUUAAACUAGGAAAAGAGACCCUUAAAUCUUAGCAGGCUAUUGAUUACUAGGUGAGACAACCACAUAUCACAGUCAUAGUCAGUACAUUCAUCUACAGAUAGCUAGGUGGGACAACCACAUAUCACAGUCAUAGUCAGUACAUUCAUCUACAGAUAGCUAGGUGGGACAACCACAUAUCUCAGUCAUAGUCAGUACAUUCAUCUACAGAUAGCUAGGUGAGACAACCACAUAUCACAGUCAUAGUCAGUACAUUCAUCUACAGAUAGCUAGGUGAGACAACCACAUAUCACAGUCAUAGUCAGUACAUUCAUCUACAGAUAGCUAGGUGGGACAACCACAUAUCACAGUCAGUACAUUCAUCUACAGAUAGCUAGGUGAGACAACCACAUAUCACAGUCAGUACAUUCAUCUACAGAUAGCUAGGUGAGACAACCACAUAUCACAGUCAGUACAUUCAUCUACAGAUAGCUGGGUGAGACAACCACAUAUCUCAGUCAUAGUCAGUACAUUCAUCUACAGAUAGCUAGGUGGGACAACCACAUAUCACAGUCAUAGUCAGUACAUUCAUCUUCAGAUAGCUAGGUGAGACAACCACAUAUCACAGUCAUAGUCAGUACAUUCAUCUACAGAUAGCUAGGUGGGACAACCACAUAUCACAGUCAUAGUCAGUACAUUCAUCUACAGAUAGCUAGGUGGGACAACCACAUAUCACAGUCAUAGUCAGUACAUUCAUCUUCAGAUAGCUAGGUGGGACAACCACAUAUCACAGUCAUAGUCAGUACAUUCAUCUUCAGAUAGCUAGGUGGGACAACCACAUAUCACAGUCAUAGUCAGUACAUUCAUCUACAGAUAGCUAGGUGAGACAACCACAUAUCACAGUCAUAGUCAGUACAUUCAUCUCCAGAUAGCUAGGUGAGACAACCACAUAUCUCAGUCAUAGUCAGUACAUUCAUCUACAGAUAGCUAGGUGAGACACCCACAUAUCACAGUCAUAGUCAGUACAUUCAUCUACAGAUAGCUAGGUGAGACAACCACAUAUCUCAGUCAUAGUCAGUACAUUCAUCUUCAGAUAGCUAGGUGGGACAACCACAUAUCACAGUCAGUACAUUCAUCUACAGAUAGCUAGGUGGGACAACCACAUAUCACAGUCAGUACAUUCAUCUACAGAUAGCUAGGUGGGACAACCACAUAUGACAGUCAUAGUCAGUACAUUCAUCUACAGAUAGCUAGGUGAGACAACCACAUAUCACAGUCAUAGUCAGUACAUUCAUCUACAGAUAGCUAGGUGGGACAACCACAUAUCACAGUCAUAGUCAGUACAUUCAUCUACAGAUAGCUAGGUGAGACAACCACAUAUGACAGUCAUAGUCAGUACAUUCAUCUACAGAUAGCUAGGAGGGACAACCACAUAUCACAGUCACAGUCAGUACAUUCAUCUCCAGAUAGCUAGGUGAGACAACCACAUAUCACAGUCAUAGUCAGUACAUUCAUCUACAGAUAGCUAGGUGGGACAACCACAUAUCACAGUCAGUACAUUCAUCUACAGAUAGCUAGGUGAGACACCCACAUAUCACAGUCAUAGUCAGUACAUUCAUCUACAGAUAGCUAGGUGAGACAACCACAUAUCACAGUCAUAGUCAGUACAUUCAUCUACAGAUAGCUAGGAGAGACAACCACAUAUCACAGUCAUAGUCAGUACAUUCAUCUUCAGAUAGCUAGGUGAGACAACCACAUAUCACAGUCAUAGUCAGUACAUUCAUCUUCAGAUAGCUAGGUGAGACAACCACAUAUCACAGUCAGUACAUUCAUCUACAGAUAGCUAGGUGAGACAACCACAUAUCACAGUCAUAGUCAGUACAUUCAUCUUCAGAUAGCUAGGUGAGACAACCACAUAUCACAGUCAGUACAUUCAUCUACAGAUAGCUAGGUGAGACAACCACAUAUCACAGUCAUAGUCAGUACAUUCAUCUACAGAUAGCUAGGUGAGACAACCACAUAUCACAGUCACAGUCAGUACAUUCAUCUACAGAUAGCUAGGUGAGACAACCACAUAUCACAGUCAUAGUCAGUACAUUCAUCUACAGAUAGCUAGGUGGGACAACCACAUAUCUCAGUCACAGUCAGUACAUUCAUCUCCAGAUAGCUAGGUGGGACAACCACAUAUCACAGUCAGUACAUUCAUCUACAGAUAGCUAGGUGGGACAACCACAUAUCACAGUCAUAGUCAGUACAUUCAUCUUCAGAUAGCUAGGUGGGACAACCACAUAUCACAGUCAUAGUCAGUACAUUCAUCUUCAGAUAGCUAGGUGGGACAACCACAUAUCACAGUCAGUACAUUCAUCUACAGAUAGCUAGGUGGGACAACCACAUAUCACAGUCAGUACAUUCAUCUACAGAUAGCUAGGUGAGACAACCACAUAUCACAGUCAUAGUCAGUACAUUCAUCUACAGAUAGCUAGGUGAGACAACCACAUAUCACAGUCAUAGUCAGUACAUUCAUCUUCAGAUAGCUAGGUGAGACAACCACAUAUCACAGUCAUAGUCAGUACAUUCAUCUACAGAUAGCUAGGUGAGACAACCACAUAUCACAGUCACAGUCAGUACAUUCAUCUACAGAUAGCUAGGUGAGACAACCACAUAUCACAGUCACAGUCAGUACAUUCAUCUACAGAUAGCUAGGUGAGACAACCACAUAUCACAGUCAUAGUCAGUACAUUCAUCUACAGAUAGCUAGGUGGGACAACCACAUAUCACAGUCAUAGUCAGUACAUUCAUCUACAGAUAGCUAGGUGAGACAACCACAUAUGACAGUCAUAGUCAGUACAUUCAUCUACAGAUAGCUAGGUGAGACAACCACAUAUCACAGUCAUAGUCAGUACAUUCAUCUUCAGAUAGUGUAAGAAAUUGAAAUAGAGACUGGAAACUAGCAAUAACUACACUUCAACAUAAGCCAUAUAUUAUACAAAAACACACAUACUCCUCAUUUCUCUUGGACAUAUGCUGGACUUAAGACACCAACUAUAGACACACAUAAUUCCCCUCCCCCAUAAUAACCACAGACACACCCAACCCAAGGUUGGACCUCAGGACAAAGAACUCUCAGGAACCAAUGGAACGUGGACACCAGGCCUGAUCAGGACUACCCAAGACCCAGAUCGACCAAUCGGAAGGCCGGACUCGCAGAUCUACCUACUUUGCUUGUUGUCUAUAUAGUACUGUACAAUUCUGGAAACUGGCCUCUUUUCCGGACGAUUCACUAGGAGUCAGACUGAAAGAGCCUUGCUGCAAGAUUUUACUAAGAUAUCUUUACAUGUAAUUAAACGGCCUUAUUAUAAAAUUA